rnacentral:rRNA from 1 species
GACGAAGGAUGCGAGCGUUAUCCGGAUUCAUUGGGUUUAAAGGGCGCGUAGGUGGCCUUAUAAGUCAGUGGUGAAAUCCCGCAGCUUAACUGUGGAAUUGCCAUUGAUACUGUAGGGCUUGAGUACAGAUGCCGUUGGCGGAAUAUGACAUGUAGUGGUGAAAUACAUAGAGAUGUCAUAGAACACCGAUUGCGAAGGCAGCUGACGAAACUGUAACUGACACUGAGGCUCGAAAGUGUGGGGAUCAAACAGG